CAGCCGCCGCGGGAAAACGAAGGGGGCUAGCGUUGUUCGGAUUUACUGGGCGUAAAGCGCACGUAGGCGGAUCGAUCAGUCAGGGGUGAAAUCCCAGAGCUCAACUCUGGAACUGCCUUUGAUACUGUCGAUCUGGAGUAUGGAAGAGGUGAGUGGAAUUCCGAGUGUAGAGGUGAAAUUCGUAGAUAUUCGGAGGAACACCAGUGGCGAAGGCGGCUCACUGGUCCAUUACUGACGCUGAGGUGCGAAAGCGUGGGGAGCAAACAGGAUUAGAUACCCGGGUAGUCCCUGUCUCUUAUAC
rnacentral:rRNA from 1 species